UUUCCAAAAAAAAAAUUAAAAAAAUAAAUCUCUUCAUUCCUGUUUUGAAGUCGCACGUCUUGUUUUUUUUUGGGCUUUUGUAAUAUCACAAUUCGGUUAAUACCAAGCUAGACUCGCCUAUCUCCAGAAUGAAGCUGCUGUUUUUCCUGAUUCUAAUACUUGCCGCUUACACUGCUUACACUCAAGGUAAUAAACCAGACACUAGCCAUAUGUGUGCUUCCGAUAAGGACUGUGACGAAGGAUUAAAAUGCGUACAUAUUGAACUCCAAAAUAAUGUGUGCAUGGAUCCAUACUAAAAAGAUAACAAUUGUUAUUUUCUUUCUCUCACAUGAUGUUUAAAAGCUUGAUGUGAUUGAAAUAAACAGGCGUGCCAUCUAA